GUAAAGGUGAUAGCUUUGAGAGAUGUGUGUCGGAGGCGGAGCUUCUGCUGGACCAAUCGGUGCGCCUGGAGCAGGCGGGCGAGGUCUCUGCUGUGCUGUCGGCCGUCAACGAAGCCGUCUCCAAACUGCAGCUGGUGGCAGUCAAGGGCGGAGCUAGUAGUCAAAGCCGGCUGCAGCGCUGUAUGAGAAGAGCCCGCAGCCUGCAGCAACGCAUGCAGCUACUGCAGCAACAGCAGGACUCAGAGGCAGUCAGACAGCAACCACAGCAGCAGCAGAAGGAGGAGCAUGAGGAGGGGCAGCAGCAGCUGCAAGAACAGCCCAGGUACCCCCUGUAGUCUGAGCAGCCAAGCAGGAGUAGUAUUAGCAAAACGUCACAGGUGCAAAAUAUAAAAUUCCUAACAAGGCUAAUUUUUAAAGCAAUUUUAUAGAUGCAUGUUCUCUUGAUAGAUGGUGGACGUGAGCGUUUGUGUAUCCAUCCGUCCAGUACUCCUGUGCACUGCCUCAUUUGCACAGGUUCUGGAAGCAGCCUAGUGUGACGUAGUUUGUCAAGGAGAAGAAAAAGUCAGUGAGAGUAGAGGUACCACAGAUUCUGGUUUUUGUCUCUUCCCAGGACUUCAUGAAGCUGAACGCAGUCACGGCAAAAACUGUAAUUAGACAUUUUCAAGUGAAACUGAAUCAACCGGCUCUGUUCUCGACUUUAAAGCCAAUCAUUUAUUUGUACUACAUGAAACAAUUAAUUUUGUUUGCUUCUUUAAAAAAAUACAUGGGGAAGCUUUAUCGUGUCAUGCUAGUGAAUAGGAGACUACGGUUGUGCAACCAACAUUACAUUUCUUUUGGUCAAACAUUAUUUAUUAGGGACUAACUAACACGGCGGCCUGCAGAGAGCCUUAGCAAGAGAGGUAUUUGUUGUGGAGAGACGUGUUGUGACAACCAGCUCAUGCGAGUGUGAGCCAUGGGGAGAGAUUGUCAACACUCUCCAGGAAACAACCUCCAAAAAACAGACACACACACACACACACAACGGGCCAAAGCUCUCGAUCGACACCAUCUGUUCCAAACAUACUGCAGGUCAACACUUACGCACUUCCUUACUUUGUCUGUCUGUCUCUCUCUCUUUCUCUGCAGUGAAAAGCCUCUCUCGCUCCAAAUACUUUUGACAGACAGACAAUCCGACCAGUCAGCUGACAGUCAGGACCAACAGGCCCCGCCUCUCUCUCCAUGCCUUGUUAAGCCCCUCCAUCCCCAAACCAACUCCGUGUCUGACUGCGGCUCCGGCGCCGGGGCCCAUACAGGUUCACCCAGAGACUACAGCAUGACUGGAGGCCCCUGCUUUGUCUUUGGGAAACCCCUCACCAACACUAGGUCCCUCCCUGCCCUGUGCGUGGACAACUUGGAGGAAAACCACUUGGGAGACUUGGCUCCACCCCCUCAAUCUAAGGAGGCGGAGCUUCCUCCCCAAAGAACCAUAACGGCCCCUAUUUGCAUCCCAGUAAAGGCCCCGCCCCCGCCCAGGCAACCCUCUCAAACCUCUUCACCUGUUGGCACCGAUGACAGGGGUCAUCUGACGAUGUCGGAGGCGCCUCAUUCCACCAGAAACCCACAUUGCAAGCCCCCCCCAGCUUGCCCCAGGGUAGCCCCACUCCCAUCAUCCUACCCAGUCAGGAAUUGGUCCUGCUUAUACUUGGACCCUCACGAUGUUGUCGAUUCUCCCGUUGACCCCCCAAUCAGCUCGCCUCUUUACUCAACUCUCAACUCCAAUUCCAAUGUUCUCCCUCUGUCAGCCGUGAGCUGGCCCGCUCCGCCCUCCUCCCCGCCCCCCAGGCAGGACCACAUAGCGGCCCUGCCUGUGGAGCGCUGGGCGGAAAACGUCAAUAGAUACUACGGCUCCCAGAAUGCAACGGGAGGAGGGGGAGAGGAUGUGCCCUGUGAGGAGCUCUCGGAGCUGGACUCUCUGUACCAGGCCAGUCUGCUGGCUCCCAGCAUGCACCGGGGCAGCCGUGGAGUCAGUCCUCAACCGGCCAACAAUAAACCAGGUGUGAGGAGAAUGCUGUCGGGGUCUGGACGCUCCAAGACCCCAACGGCUGAGAUUGAGAGAUGCGCCUACAGAACACCUGUUACAACUCAUAAGUUGGCUCAAGGUGAAGACGAGAGCUACAGUGCAGCAAACCUGCGACGCAUUGCACGCAGCCUGAGUGGAAGUGCCAUGGGGUCACGACCCCAAAGUCCCAGCUCCUCCCACAGCUGUCUGGACCGAGUCUCCAGCAGCCGUUUCUGGUUGUGUCUGACAGGCGUCCGUCUCUCUCUGGUCAAAGCCUCCACAAUGUCGCGUUGA
ensembl:lncRNA